rnacentral:rRNA from 1 species
UACGAAGGGGGCAAGCGUUGUUCGGAAUUACUGGGCGUAAAGGGCGCGUAGGCGGCUUAUCGAGUCAGGCGUGAAAUUCCCGGGCUCAACCUGGGGGCUGCGCUUGAUACUGAUGAGCUUGAAUGCGGGAGAGGAUAGUGGAAUUCCCAGUGUAGAGGUGAAAUUCGUAGAUAUUGGGAAGAACACCGGUGGCGAAGGCGGCUAUCUGGCCCGUAAUUGACGCUGAGGCGCGAAAGCGUGGGGAGCAAACAGG